rnacentral:rRNA from 1 species
UAAGGAAUAUUGGUCAAUGGACGCAAGUCUGAACCAGCCAUGCCGCGUGAAGGAUUAAGGUCCUCUGGAUUGUAAACUUCUUUUAUCUGGGACGAAAAAAGGCGAUUCUUCGUCACUUGACGGUACCAGAUGAAUAAGCACCGGCUAACUCCGUGCCAGCAGCCGCGGUAAUACGGAGGGUGCAAGCGUUAUCCGGAUUCACUGGGUUUAAAGGGUGCGUAGGCGGGUAGGUAAGUCAGUGGUGAAAUCCUGGAGCUUAACUCCAGAACUGCCAUUGAUACUAUCUAUCUUGAAUAUUGUGGAGGUAAGCGGAAUAUGUCAUGUAGCGGUGAAAUGCUUAGAUAUGACAU